GUGAGGAAUAUUGGUCAAUGGGCGCGAGCCUGAACCAGCCAAGUCGCGUGAGGGAUGACGGUCCUACGGAUUGUAAACCUCUUUUGCCGGGGAGCAAGCGUGCGUUCGUGAACGCGCGUCGAGAGUACCCGGAGAAAAAGCAUCGGCUAACUCCGUGCCAGCAGCCGCGGUAAUACGGAGGAUGCGAGCGUUAUCCGGAUUUAUUGGGUUUAAAGGGUGCGUAGGCGGGAUGCCAAGUCAGCGGUAAAAAUGCGGUGCUCAACGCCGUCGAGCCGUUGAAACUGGCGUUCUUGAGUGGGCGAGAAGUAUGCGGAAUGCGUGGUGUAGCGGUGAAAUGCAUAGAUAUCACGCAGAACUCCGAUUGCGAAGGCAGCAUACCGGCGCCCUACUGACGCUGAGGCACGAAAGCGUGGGUAUCGAACAGG
rnacentral:rRNA from 1 species